rnacentral:sRNA from 1 species
AGACGGACUAACGCACCUGCCAUGCCC